CUUGCUUUCUCUCUGCGCAUAUGCACAAAGAAAAGGUCAUGUGAGUUCACAGUUGAUGGUGACUCUCUUCAAGCCAAGAGGAGAUACUUCAGAAUGAAACUUACUUGGCUGCCAACUCGAUAUUGGACUUGUUAGCUUCCAGAAAUACACUUAGGUUGUUUCCAUAUCGUGGCUAUUGUGAAUAGUGCUAUGCAUUGCUUCUUUUGACCAUAGCUGCCGACUUAUGGAGAAACUAUAAUUUUGCCUGUCUUAAAUUGAGAAGAAACUGAAGCAAAUUUAUUUUCUGAGAAGUUUUUUUAGAGAAAGAACAAAGGGGAACUCAUAAAAGCACUGGGAUACUGAUCAGGGUUUCACUUGGUCUGGACAUGCGAUUUGCUUUGGCUGAGGUAUAUUUGUGGAACUACUAUGCCCAUUUCAAGGCUGGGCUUUAGGAAGUUUUACGGGUUUCCACCUAUUUUCCUGUGCCUUUUCCAUUCUGUCAAGAACAAAGCUGAUGCUCUAAGGUGGAUGAGAGAACUUUCAAGCAGAGCUCCCCCAGCCGUCAGUGCCUAUAUCUAACCACCUUCCUAAUGUACAGAUUUGCUGAAACACAGCUGACACACAGAUCCUUGAGAAUAAAUGCUCAUUUUUAUACACCACUGAGAUGUUGUGGCUUUCUUUUGUUCUGUAACAUUAUUGUAUUAAUAACUCACUGACACAAAUGAGAUAAACUAUGUGCCUCAUGAUGAAUGUAAUAGGAAGGACAUAACACAACCUGUGAAUCAUUUGUCUCCAAACAAUGGAAAGUUAAUCUAAUCUAUUCAAAUGUUAAGAAUAAAAGGAUGUUAAACUUUGUCUCAAAGAAACAGUUGGACAUUCUGCAAGUUAAAUGACAGUUUUUAACAAAAAUUGGGAAAAAAUAAAAGGAAGAAAAGAGAGAAAAAUGGAGAAACAGUUACAAAAUAAAAGAGACUUUAGAAAUACAACUAAUGCUGCAAGUAGACUUUCGACAGUCAUUUGAACCAACCAAUUAUAAGAAAAAGAUGUGUGAGACAGUCAAGAAAAUGUGAAUAAAAAUAGACAUCAAUGAAUUAUUGUCAAUUUAAAUAUGACAAUGCUGUGAUAAUUGUGUUUAAAAAGUCCUAAAACAGCUAACAAAGUUAACUGUUAAUAAAAGUCUGAAAUAUGAGUUUUUCUUCAUACUAAGAAAGUGAAUAUUCAGAAAUAUAUUUAGUUCUUAAAAGUUGUAUUGUGGAUAAAAGUUAAAUUCGAAAUGGGUAUCAAGAGUUCAUUAUUCUACACAAUUGAAAUUUGAAGCUCAAUUUUACAUUGCACCAUAAAUGGAUAACAUUAUAUGAACAGCCAAUAUGUCCCCUUCAGUGUCAGUUCUAUUAAUAAUAUGUGUAGUAUUCACAUAAGCACUGAAUUCUGGAGAAUUUACACAGUGGGGAGGCUGAACAUAGAAAAUAUUCCUGUUAACUGUGAUGCUGCAUAAUGUGUACGUAUCUGUAUAUGUGUAUGUACAUGUGAAUUUAGUCAUCCCCUAAAACGGCACAGCAUUUUCAAUAACCUACACACAUCCUCCCACAUACUUUAAAUCCUCUCUAGAUUACUUCCUCUCUAGAUUGCUUAUGAUACCUAAUGCAAUGUAAAUGCCAUGUAAAUAGUUGGUGUAUUGUACUCUUUUUUAUUUGUAUUUUUAUUAUUGUAAUGUUAUUAUUUAUUGACUUCCAAAUACAGUAUCUGCAAUUGGCUGAAUCUGCAGAUGGAGGAUUCACAGAUAGGAAAGGCCAGAUGUAUAUGUAUAUUUAUAUUAUUUGUGUGCUUUUUCAUGUUGUUUAUCACAGAAAGGAAAACUCAAAAUUAGGUUGUAUUAAGUUCAUGUUGAUAGAACCACUCCUAGACUGCUAUCCCCACCCUCCGUGCUCCUUUUUAUUCUCAUUAGUUUUUCAAUAUAAUUACUAAAAACAACUUUGAAACACCCUCCUGUUCGUUAAAUUGCCUGUUAGAAUUGGCAUAUCCUAUAAGCACCAAUGACUUAUUUCAACUGGAUGAAGUUAUCUAAUCACUCAAAAUCAUGAAGGAUCAAUCAGUCAGUGGAAAAAUCAAAACAAUGCUCUUAUUUCUGACAAAACCAAGCAGGUCUUGGACUUUUCUUUUUAUAGUGUCAUAAACGAAUUAGCUAAAAUAUUUACAACAGCUAUAUAUUUUUAUUGAUUAGUUUAAAAAGCAUCUCCAAAGCACUGAAACUAUAAUGAUAGUCUACCUUUCACUUAGCUUCCCA
rnacentral:lncRNA from 10 species